CAACCUCAAACAGACUUUUAACCCUUUAAUAUUUGUGGGGUCCAGCAUUUUGGCCCCACAAAGCUGUUGGGACCCCACAAGUAUACUGAACUCCUGGUUUUUGGACCUCA